rnacentral:rRNA from 1 species
CCUUUGCUGAGGAUACGGUUAACGGAGCGAAAGCGACGUUCAACCGCAAAACAAGCAGAGGGGGCUUAGUGGUGGGGUGACUGCGUACCUUUUGUAUAAUGGGUCAGCGACUUAUAUUCUGUAGCAAGGUUAACCGUAUAGGGGAGCCGGAGGGAAACCGAGUCUUAACCGGGCGUUAAGUUGCAGGGUAUAGACCCGAAACCCGGUGAUCUAGCCAUGGGCAGGUUGAAGGUUGGGUAACACUAACUGGAGGACCGAACCGACUAAUGUUGAAAAAUUAGCGGAUGACCUGUGGCUGGGGGUGAAAGGCCAAUCAAACCGGGAGAUAGCUGGUUCUCCCCGAAAGCUAUUUAGGUAGCGCCUCGUGAAUUCAUCUCCGGGGGUAGAGCACUGUUUCGGCUAGGGGGCCAUCCCGGCUUACCAACCCGAUGCAAACUGCGAAUACCGGAGAAUGUUAUCACGGGAGACACACGGCGGGUGCUAACGUCCGUCGUGAAGAGGGAAACAACCCAGACCGCCAGCUAAGGUCCCAAAGUCAUGGUUAAGUGGGAAACGAUGUGGGAAGGCCCAGACAGCCAGGAUGUUGGCUUAGAAGCAGCCAUCAUUUAAAGAAAGCGUAAUAGCUCACUGGUCGAGUCGGCCUGCGCGGAAGAUGUAACGGGGCUAAACCAU